UACAGAGACUGCAAGCGUUAUUCGGAUUCACUGGGCGUAAAGGGUGCGCAGGUGGCCAGGUGUGUUAGGCGUGAAAGCCCGGGGCUUAACCCCGGAAUUGCACCUAAAACUACUUGGCUAGAGCAUUGGAGAGGGGAGCAGAAUUCAUGGUGUAGCAGUGAAAUGCGUAGAUAUCAUGAGGAAUACCAGAGGCGAAGGCGGCUCCCUGGACAAUUGCUGACACUCAGGCACGAAAGCGUGGGGAGCAAAAGGG
rnacentral:rRNA from 1 species